CAGCUAUAUUAGUUUGAAACACGGGUCCCUGUACGAUCACCGAAGUUAAGCAAUGUUGAUACUGGUCAGUACCUAGAUGAGUGACCACUUGGUAAUACUAGGUGCUAUA